rnacentral:rRNA from 1 species
GACUCUCGGCAACGGAUAUCUCGGCUCUCGCAUCGAUGAAGACGUAGCGAAUGCGAUAACUGGUGGAUUGCAGAAUCCC